UCGGCAGCAGCUACGGUUGCCGGUCCCGCACUGAAAAACGACAGUGGUGACGGGUGAGCUCCCAGAAGCAGAAGAAUGACAGGCAACACCUGAAGCCACGCAGCCGCCGCCAUCUUCACAGCCGUGGAGUGCCUACCGAAAGCAUUUCACCCUCUUCCGGACUCAUUGCGUACACGCCCUCACCGCCGCCCAGUUUCGGUUCCUAACAAAAGCACGUUCCUCAUCAGCCACCCAUAAUCAAGACAAAUUUGCCAAAUAAAUCAUUGUAGAAACGCUAGUUUGGGCCUGAAAAAUUCCAGGAGCAAGAGUCAAGAUUUGUCACUCCAUGAGAAUCUGGAGGGGACUCCCUUCCCAGAAACUUGACGAUGAAGUACUGGUUGUAAUUUUAGAAAGACACCCAAUCGGCUUUUUUAAAAGAUCGCCCAGGGCCCUUGUCCUGAGAGCUGGGAGCUGGUCGGAGUGACAGAGAAGCCAUGGAAGCAGCAGUGAAAGAGGAAAUAAGUCUUGAAGAUGAAGCUGUAGAUAAAAACAUUUUCAGAGACUGUAACAAGAUCGCAUUUUACAGGCGUCAGAAACAGUGGCUUUCCAAGAAGUCCACCUAUCAGGCAUUAUUGGAUUCAGUCACAACAGAUGAAGACAGCACCAGGUUCCAAAUCAUCAAUGAAGCAAGUAAGGU
rnacentral:lncRNA from 1 species